CAUAAACUAGAGCUGUAAGAAGACUGCAUCAUUUUCAGAAGAUAUGUGCUCUGAGCUUCCACAGCAGUCAUACCAUCAAUAUAAUCAAUCUUCCAUCCAAGUUGUGAUGAUCGUGUAUUCUCUGAUGAAAGGCCAAGUGUGAAAAUGAAACUUGAUGACAUCUGGAAUAACAAAUUGCAAGCUCAAGGGGAGUGCACAAGUACACGCGAUGGGGAGUCAAAAGAACGUAAACCAUUCCUGCAAUUUGUUCCUGACCUGAAUAAGAGCUGAACUUUUCCAGUUCAUGUUUCAAAUUUUGACCGACAAAAACUCAAAGUUUCUUAUAUUCUGGGACAAAAUGGAGGGACUUCCGUCCAGAGAUUACACAUUCUGCAGAUGAGUGAAUCCUUUUGGAAGAACUGCGUGAGAAGGUCGUGCCUGAAAUUGGUUACCAAUUACUACACAACUGUGCUGACCAAAUUCAAAACUGGGGUUGGAUGUACAACAUUCAUUCACAAGCUUCAAGAUCAUUUACCUGAAACUAGAGCUGUAAGGAGACUUCAGCAUUCUUCAAAAGCUAUCUGCUCAGAGCUUCCACAGCAGUCGUCCCAUAAGUGUGAUCAAUCUUCCACCCAAAGUUGUGGCGACAGUGUAUUCUCUGAUGAAAGGCCAAGUGUGAAAAUGAAACUUGUUAACAUGUGGAAUAGCAAAUUACAUACUCAAGGGGUGUGCACAAGUACACGCUAUGGAGAGUCAAAAGAAGAAUUGUCAUGCCUGACACUUCUAUUCAAAUCUUCAGAAGUUGCACCAACAAAAAACUCAAUGUAUCUUAUAUUCUGGGACAAAUGGAGUGACUUCCGUCCAGUGAUUACAAGCGCUACUGGAACAGUCUUAAGAAUCAGAAUAAUAUACUCAAUGUCACUUCUGGCAUCUUGCAUUUUGUUGGUGCUUCAAUGGUUCCUGAUAUCAUUGAUAAAACUGCCUGGUGGAGGGUGCCAAAGUUCUUCAACAAGUUGAUAAGAAGUUUAUUCCGCUUGUGGGCGGGACAACAGUUGCUAUAAUUGAUCAGGUUAAGAGAGGAGUGGUUUGACUUAUCGCCCCAAAAAAGAAAAAAUGUGUCACUUGUUCAUCUUUGUUCCAUGUUAGAUGUGCAGUCAACUUGCCAGAAAUUAUGUGCAGCAUGUAACUCCCUUUGUUGGCAUCAUUGAUACUGAUUGUGUUAAUCUGAUAAAGUUAUUUUAAUGUGUUUUUCAAGAAUCUCUUGUGGUGACUGGUUGGUUCUUAAUGGUACUUGUAGGAUUGGUGCCCCGUCCUUCUCUUUAUUAACUAUGGUUUCUUAUGCUUCCUUUACACCAACGACAUCAAAAUAUAGCCAUUCAAACGAUAUGCAUGCUUUCCCAGCAAGCUUUGGCUUUAAAAGAGAGGCUCUGAGCUCUAUU